UACGUAGGGUGCGAGCGUUGUCCGGAAUUAUUGGGCGUAAAGGGCUCGUAGGCGGUCUGUUGCGUCGGGAGUGAAAACUCAGGGCUUAACCCUGAGCCUGCUUCCGAUACGGGCAGACUAGAGGUAUGCAGGGGAGAACGGAAUUCCUGGUGUAGCGGUGGAAUGCGCAGAUAUCAGGAGGAACACCGAUGGCGAAGGCAGCUCGCUGGGACGUUACUGACGCUGAGACGCGAAAGCGUGGGGAGCAAACAGG
rnacentral:rRNA from 1 species